AAGACCAGCUCUGAUGUUUAUUUGAUCAUUUGUUUAUUAUUAUUUUUUAUUUGAUCAACAUCUAUUCAGUGCUUACUUACUUGCCUUUCUAUGUACUGUAUUUAUAGCCUAAAUAUAAAGUUUUCUUUUUAUAUGAUAGUAUUCUGCCUUCAUUCCCCUGAGCCUGAUUAAUUUCCAGUGUUCCUAAAGUGUUCUUUCUUCUUCUUAUCCACCUAGGUGACUUCAGUUUGCUAAGCAGCAGCUUCUCCUGGCAUGAGCCACUGCAGAUCUCCUCAUCAGACGGGCUGAGACUAUCCUGUGUGCCCUGCACUUGGAGUAAGGAGAACACAGCAAGGUUGGUCCAACAGAGUUUAGAGGAAGAUUGAUGAGGCUGGACCCUUGCUUCAGGUUUGGAGGCAAGUAGACUAAAUACAGAGAUG
rnacentral:lncRNA from 1 species